CUACGUGCCAGCAGCCGCGGUAAUACGGAAGGUCCAGGCGUUAUCCGGAUUUAUUGGGUUUAAAGGGAGCGUAGGCGGAUUAUUAAGUCAGUGGUGAAAGACGGUGGCUCAACCAUCGUUAGCCAUUGAAACUGGUAGUCUUGAGUGCAGACAGGGAUGCUGGAACUCGUGGUGUAGCGGUGAAAUGCUUAGAUAUCAUGACGAACUCCGAUUGCGAAGGCAGCGUACGGGAGUGUUACUGACGCUUAAGCUCGAAGGUGCGGGUAUCGAACAGGAUUAGAUACCCUGGUAGUCCGCACGGUAAACGAUGGAUGCCCGCUGUUAGCGCCUGGCGUUAGCGGCUAAGCGAAAGCAUUAAGCAUCCCACCUGGGGAGUACGCCGGCAACGGUGAAACUCAAAGGAAUUGACGGGGGCCCGCACAAGCGGAGGAACAUGUGGUUUAAUUCGAUGAUACGCGAGGAACUUUACCCGGGCUUGAA
rnacentral:rRNA from 1 species